AACAAACGUUGGCGGCAAGCUUAACACAUGCAAGUUGAACGAAUUAAGGUUGGUUUACCAAUUUUGAUUAGUGGCAGACGGGUGAGUAAUGCGUAGGAAUCUACCUAGUAGUAUGGAAUAGUUAUUAGAAAUGAUAGGUAAUACCAUAUAAUACCCUGAGGGGGAAAGUUUUUUUCGCUAUUAGAUGAGCCUACGUUAGAUUAGCUAGUUGGUAAGGUAAUAGCUUACCAAGGCUAUGAUCUAUAGCUGGUCUGAGAGGAUGAUCAGCCACACUGGGACUGAGAUACGGCCCAGACUCCUACGGGAGGCAGCAGUGAGGGAAUAUUGGACAAUGGGCGCAAGCCUGAUCCAGCUAUGCCGCGUGAAUGAAGAAGGCCUUAGGGUUGUAAAAUUCUUUCAGUGGAGAAGAAAAUGACGGUAUUCACAUAAGAAGUCCCGGCUAACUCCGUGCCAGCCGCCGCGGUAAU
rnacentral:rRNA from 1 species